GGCAGCUUCUGAGCGUGGGCCGUUCCGUCCCCGUCCCGCUGCUCACCCUGCGGUAGGACGGCGGUCACGCCCAGGCUCAGGAUGGGGCUUCCCUGGUGGCUCAGACAGUAAAGAAUCCACCUCUAAUGCCGGAGACCUGGGUUUGAUCCCUGGUUUUGGAAGAUCCCCUGGAGAGGGGAACAGCUACCCACUCAGUAUUCUGAGCAGGAGAAUCCCAUGAACAGAGGAGCCUGGUGGGCUAUAGUCCCUGGGGUCACAGAGAGUCAGACACGACUGAAUGACUGACUUUCAGAAUAUGGUGCCUUAUGCGGCAAAAGGAAGCUUCCUGGUCUUGAAAUGGAGAGCAACCUGGAUGAUCCAGGUGGGCCUGAUGUCACCACAAGGGUCCCCAUGGGAGAGGCAGGAGGUCAGAGAGCAGAGAAGCCCUAUCCUGCUGGCACUGAAGAGAAAGGGCCCACAGGCCUAAGGGCACGGGUGGUCCCAGGAUAAGGAAAGGGAUGCUCCCCAAGAAGAACCAGCCCUGAUGACACGGACUUAGACCAGCCAGGUCGACUUUGGACUUCAGGACCCCCGCUUAGCAGGAUGAGACCCCCCUAGAACGUGGCAGCCAAGAGCACAGGGGCCCCUCUCUCCCGGCUCCAGAGGCUGUCUUCCCAGGAGACGCAGGGAGGCAGCCUUUCUCCACCCGCGCCAGCCCCCUGUUGCCGAGGCCGCGUUCUGGGCACGUGCCGAUGUAAGCUGGGGCCUGGCCCUCCUUUGGCCCCCGCUUGUGCGGGGUGGGGGCUCCGCCGCAGUCCUGGGGCACGAGAACUUCAGGCCUGGUCUUGCCGGAUGCCUGCAGCCGAGUUCCCUGCUGCAGAGGCUCGGAGGCCUGCGCCCCGCACCCCCUACCCCACUGAGCCCCAGAGCCGACCUCACUCCGAAGGAGGCCCGCCGUGGUCCCCAACCCCGGGCAGAACUAGGUUCGCGCUCGCCUGGGACCAGGGGGUUUAGGGAUGUGAGGGCUGGGAGAAGAGGGCACAGGGCUUCUCUUCGAGGCGGUGAAGUGCUCUGUGACUGUCUGUGGUGACAGUUGCCCAUGCCUGUGCUUACACCGGAAGCCUGAGUUGUAAGCCUUCAGCGGGUGAACUGCGUGAUCUGUGAAUUGUGUCGCAAUAAAUCUGUUUUAAAAAGGACCAACGAAGAUUAACCUUGUGUUUCUUUGAGCCGCCGUGUCUGUGACGGCAGCAGCAGGAGUGGCUCCUCCGGCCACGCGGUCUCGCGGUGGCCUCCCUGCUCGUCUCCCUGCUGAGUGCCAGCUCUCCCAGCGUCUGCCUCCUGGCUCCUGGGUGCUGCACAGCCUCUUGGAGGGGUGUCUUUUUCCUUAGCUUGGGUGAGACGAGCUUUCCUUUACACCAAAUGAACGGAGCACGCAGGACAGAGCAGGGCAGCACCCCCAGAGAUGCCGAAGCUCUUCCCCUUCGCACCAGCCUCCUGGAAGGGCUCAGCCUGGGACAAGGCCUGGAGGCUUCUCUCAGGACGUUCAGCUCUUGAGCUCAGCCAGCUAAAACCAAAAUUUACAAGUGAAAUCAAGGUGUCCUCAGCUUAAAAGCCUGGGUUCUUUUUAGGCCCAAGAGUAAAGCUUCAUUUGUUUACAGUUGAUUUUUGGAUUCCCUGCAGCUGGGCUGUGUCCAGUAUAGUAUGUUUGUAAUUUGCAUCAAGCUGAAAACUGCAGGAACUUUUUCCUAAGGUUUUGUUUUAAACUGGGUGCAGAAAAAAUAAAAAAAGAGCUGUAGAGAAGGAAGGUUCUUAUCAGUGUUCCCGACUCGGGGCCNNNNNNNNNNNNNNNNNNNNNNNNNNNNNNNNNNNNNNNNNNNNNNNNNNNNNNNNNNNNNNNNNNNNNNNNNNNNNNNNNNNNNNNNNNNNNNNNNNNAAGAGCUGUAGAGAAGGAAGGUUCUUAUCAGUGUUCCCGACUCGGGGCCCCGCUCUUUCCGUACCUUAAUCCUUUUUUGUUUCUUGGAGAUAAACCGCAGCCCACCCUCCUGCUCUGAGCCCAGCUCUCCAUUCCUGUCUCCUGCUUCUUCACCUGGGCACUGACCCCCUCACCAAAUGGAAGCAGCUUCCUUUCAUCACAAAGAAUCACUAGCGAGCAGAGAGUGGUGAAAGCUUCCACUGCCGGAGGGGCAUUAAAAAUAGCUUUAUAUUAUACGAGAUAAUAUAAACAGGAUUCCGUGUGUCAGGAAGGUCUCCUGGACAAGGAAAUGGCAACCCACUCCAGUAUUCUUGCUGGGAAAUUUCA
rnacentral:lncRNA from 1 species